GACAGAGGGUGCAAACGUUGCUCGGAAUUACUGGGCGUAAAGGGCGGUGUAGGCGGGGAAGGCAAGCUCGGGCGUGAAAGCCCCAGGCUCAACCUGGGAACUGCACUCGAAACUGCCUUUCUGAGUGCCGGAGAGGAAAGCGGAAUUCCUGGUGUAGAGGUGAAAUUCGUAGAUAUCAGGAGGAACACCAGUGGCGAAGGCGGCUUUCUGGACGGUAACUGACGCUGGAGAACGCGAAAGCGUGGGGAGCAAACAGG
rnacentral:rRNA from 1 species